ensembl:snRNA U6 U6 spliceosomal RNA
GUGCUCACUUUGCCAGCACAUAUAUAAAAUUAGAAUAAUCCAGAGAAGACUAGCAUGGCCCCUGCACAAGGAUGACAAGCGCAUUUGUGUCAUUCCAUAUUUGU